rnacentral:rRNA from 1 species
AUGGCUCCUCAAGUUUUUCGCACCCAACCUCUGAUUCCUCCGUCCUACCAAUCACUCUUCCUUCUUUGCACCAUCCUCAUAUUUCUAUCCUCCAACACAAUAAUAUUCUCAUCAGCGCAGGCUACCAACAAAACAGAAGAUGAUCGGCAAGCCCUUCUCUGCUUCAAAGCUGGCAUCUCCAAGGACCCUGCCGGUGUUCUUGGAUCAUGGAGCAAUGACUCGCUUAACUUCUGCAGCUGGCGAGGGGUCAACUGCAGCACCACCCUCCCGAUCCGUGUCGUGUCCCUCCAAUUCAGGUCUGCGCAGCUCACAGGAACACUAUCCAGUUGCACAGCUGCCCUUACUUCUCUAGUUCAGUUGAACCUUUGGAACAAUAAGUUAUCUGGAAGCGUACCUGAAGAGAUAGGUGAGCUUCGGAGCCUCCAAACCCUGAUGCUUGCUGCCAACAGGCUUUCAGGUAACAUCCCUCUGUCAUUAGGUACAGCUGCAUCUCUUAGAUAUGUCAACCUUGCAAACAAUUCUCUUAGUGGAGCUAUCCCUGAUUCCUUAGCAAAUAGUUCGUCACUCAGUGAGAUAAUCCUCUCACGUAAUAACAUAUCUGGGGUUAUCCCAGCUAAUUUGUUCAACUCAUCCAAACUUGUUGCUGUUGACCUCCGGUCGAAUGCUCUCUCCGGGGCUAUCCCACAUUUCCAAAAGAUGUCAGCUCUGCAGUUUCUCGAUCUUACGGGGAAUUCACUUUCUGGUACCAUACCAGCAUCUUUAGGAAAUGCUUCAUCCUUGCGUUCACUCCUGCUAGCACAAAACAAGUUAGCACGAUCAAUUCCGGAAACUGUCGGUCAAAUUCCAAAUCUAAAAAGGGUAGAUCUAAGUAAUAACAUGUUCUCGGGGUAUGUCCCAGCCACACUGUACAAUGCGUCAUCACUCACAUUCUUUCGCCUAGGCAGCAAUAGAUUUACUGGACAGCUACCUUCUGACAUUGGCCACUCACUUCCAAACCUCGAAACAUUAGCAAUGGGACUCAACGGAUUUCGUGGAUCAGUCCCAGAUUCCCUGACCAACAUGUCAAAGCUCCGAGUGCUUGAUCUUUCAAGCAACUCGCUGACUGGCGUGGUGCCAUCUCUAGGAUCCUUGGCAAACUUGAGUGUACUGCUUCUAGGAGAUAAUAAACUCGAAGCUGAUGACUGGGCCUUUCUUACCUCUCUGACCAAUUGCACCCAGUUGUUAAUAUUAUCAGCAGAUGGAAAUAUCCUGAAUGGAAGUUUGCCAAAAGCAGUAGGCAAACUUUCAACAAAGCUUCAGCGGUUAAGCUUUGGAAGAAACCAAAUUUCUGGAGACAUACCAGCUGAGACAGGGAAGCUUGUAAGUCUCACUCUGCUUGACAUGGGCCAGAACAUGCUCUCUGGACCAAUUCCCCUGACAGUUUGGAACUUGAGAAACUUGGUUGUCCUAAAACUUUCCAUGAAUAGGUUGUCAGGUCAGAUUCCAUCAACAGUUGGUAACCUUGUUCAACUCAGCCAGCUUCAUCUUGAUGAUAAUGAAUUGUCUGGAAACAUACCAGCAAAUAUAGGACAAUGCAACAGGCUGCUUAUGCUAAACAUGUCAGUUAACCACCUUGAUGGAUCCAUACCAAGAGAACUCUUCAGUAUUUCCUCCCUUUCAUUGGGCUUGGACUUGUCAAACAACAACCUGACUGGGCCAAUACCAUGGGAAGUUAGUAACCUGAUCAAUCUUGGCCUCCUUAAUGUUUCCAACAACAAAUUAUCUGGUAGCCUUCCUUCUGAACUUGGCCUGUGUGUUCAACUGCUAUCCCUUCAGAUCAAAAGCAACAUGCUUAAUGGGAGCAUUCCCGAGUAUUUCAGCAAACUGAAGGUCAUACAGCAGAUAGAUCUGUCCGAGAACAAUUUAACUGGUCAAGUUCCACAGUAUUUUGUGAACUUCAGCAGCUUAAAUUAUAUUAAUAUAUCAUACAACAAAUUUGAAGGGCCAAUCCCGACUGGUGGCAUAUUUCGAAAUUCAGCUGUAGUAUUCCUGCAAGGCAACACAGGCUUAUGUGAAACAGCUGCUGCCAUAUUUGGAUUGCACAUUUGCCCAACCUCCUCAGCAACAAGAAGGAAGAUCAACACACGCCUGCUGCUUAUAGUAGCUCCACCAAUUACUAUUGCCGUGUUCUCAUUAUUAUGUGUUGUUGUCACUAUUAUGAAGGGAACUAAAGCUCAACCAUCUGAAAGCUUCAAGGAGACAAUGAGGAGGGUGUCAUAUGGAGACAUCCUUAAAGCCACCAAUUGGUUCUCUCUGGUCAACCGGAUCAGUUCAAGUCAUACAGCAUCCGUCUACAUUGGCCGGUUUGAGUUCGAGACAGAUCUAGUGGCCAUCAAAGUAUUCCAUCUUAGUGAGCAAGGUUCAAGAAAUAGCUUUUUCACCGAGUGCGAAGUGCUAAAACACACCCGCCACCGCAACCUGGUUCAAGCUAUCACCCUGUGCUCCACUGUAGAUUCCGAGGGUGAAGAAUUCAAGGCCAUAGUAUAUGAGUUCAUGGCAAAUGGUAGCCUGGACAUGUGGAUACACCCAAGGGUCGGCAGCUCAAGGAGGCUGCUGAGCUUGGGCCAGCGGAUACGUAUUGCUGCUGACGUGGCUUCCGCUCUGGACUAUAUGCACAACCAGCUGACACCUCCUUUGAUCCACUGCGAUUUGAAGCCAAGCAAUGUGCUGCUGGACUACGAUAUGACCUCGCGCAUUUGUGACUUCGGGUCUGCCCAGUUCCUCUCUUCAAGUAUUGGCAGACCAGAAGGCUUUAUUGGUGUAGGAGGAACAAUCGGAUAUAUCGCUCCUGAAUAUGGGAUGGGAUGCAAAGUCUCGACAGGCGGCGAUGUUUACGGUUUUGGGGUGCUGCUGCUGGAGAUGCUCACGGCAAGGCGGCCGACGGACGUGCUAUGUGGCAACGCCCUCAGCCUCCACAAGUAUGUCGAUCGAGCCUUCCCUGAGAGGAUCGCUGAGGUUAUAGAUCCCCACAUGCCAUCCGAGGAGGAUGAGGCGGCUGCUUCUGUACGUAUGCAGAACUACAUUAUACCUUUGGUCAGUAUUGGCCUGAUGUGUACCAUGGAAUCGCCGAAAGAUAGACCAGGAAUGCAUGAUGUCUGUGCUAAAAUUGUUGCCAUAAAAGAGGCAUUUGUUGAGACCUUGUGA